rnacentral:misc_RNA from 1 species
AUAGUUAACACACAUCACAUGUUUUAUUACGGUCUCUUAAUACGGUGUCUAAUAUAUAUUUAAGCAUCGUAACCGUACUUUAUAAAAUUGUGUGAUCCUUGCUUAGCGUUGUCUCGAUUUAACAAAUAUUAUAGUGUCAGUGUUUAUCGCCCCCAAACUGGGGUUCAACGUUUGGGUCACCAAGUUCGACGAUUGGGUCACCGAUUUCGACGUUUGGCUCACCAAUUACGACGUUCAAACCAAUUUCGACGUUUCCACCUAACCCCGACGACGAGAGUGCACUCCGCCGGAUCUUGAACUACCCGUUCCUGCCGCCCCCGGUCGAAAGCGGAAUCCUGCCACGCGACUCCCGGGAAUAUCACCUGCACGGCGAACCAGGAGAGUACCUGAGCCGAACUGCAUUUGGAGCUUGUGUGAAUUGGGUGCUCGACCCCGCCCAUAUACGUACAUUUUUUUAUUUUCUACCUCACCGGGUUAAUUAAUUUAAUAAUUUUUUUUAGUUCAUGGUACCCUGGUUUUAUUUACAUCUCUAAUAGACCAGGGGAACCGUGACA